rnacentral:rRNA from 1 species
GACGAACGCUGGCGGCGUGCUUAACACAUGCAAGUCGAACGGAAAGGCCCUGCUUUUGUGGGGUGCUCGAGUGGCGAACGGGUGAGUAACACGUGAGUAACCUGCCCUUGACUUUGGGAUAACUUCAGGAAACUGGGGCUAAUACCGGAUAGGAGCUCCUGCUGCAUGGUGGGGGUUGGAAAGUUUCGGCGGUUGGGGAUGGACUCGCGGCUUAUCAGCUUGUUUGUGGGGUAGUGGCUUACCAAGGCUUUGACGGGUAGCCGGCCUGAGAGGGUGACCGGCCACAUUGGGCCUGAGAUACGGCCCAGACUCCUACGUGAGGCAGCAGUGGGGAAUAUUGCACAAUGGGCGGAAGCCAGAUGCAGCAACGCCGCGUGCGGGAUGACGGCCUUCGGGUUGUAAACCGCUUUCGCAUGUGACGAAGCGUGAGUGACGGUAAUGGGUAAAGAAGCACCGGCUAACUACGUG